AUUGAACGCUGGCGGCAUGCCUUACACAUGCAAGUCGAACGGCAGCGGGGACUUCGGUCCGCCGGCGAGUGGCGAACGGGUGAGUAAUGUAUCGGAACGUACCUUUCAGUGGGGAUAACGUAGCGAAAGUUACGCUAAUACCGCAUAUUCUCUGAGGAGGAAAGCAGGGGACCUUCGGGCCUUGUGCUGAUGGAGCGGCCGAUAUCAGAUUAGCUAGUUGGUGAGGUAAAGGCUCACCAAGGCGACGAUCUGUAGCGGGUCUGAGAGGAUGAUCCGCCACACUGGGACUGAGACACGGCCCAGACUCCUACGGGAGGCAGCAGUGGGGAAUUUUGGACAAUGGGCGCAAGCCUGAUCCAGCCAUGCCGCGUGUGUGAAGAAGGCCUUUUGGUUGUAAAGCACUUUAAGCGAGGAGGAGGCUACUGGUACUAAUACAACUGGAUAGUGGACGUUACUCGCAGAAUAAGCACCGGCUAACUCUGUGCCAGCCGCCGCCGUAAAAC
rnacentral:rRNA from 1 species